UAAUUUGAUUAGUAGAUCCCUUC
rnacentral:misc_RNA from 1 species